rnacentral:rRNA from 1 species
ACGUAGGUGGCAAGCGUUACUCGGAAUCACUAGGCGUAAAGCGCAGGUAGGCGGUUUGAUAAGUCUGUUGUGAAAGCUCCCGGCUUAACUGGGAGAGGCCAACGGAAACUAUCAGGCUAGAGUGUGGUAGAGGUAGCUGGAAUUCCCGGUGUAGCGGUGAAAUGCGUAGAUAUCGGGAGGAAUACCUAUGGCGAAAGCAGGCUACUGGACCAUCACUGACGCUGAUCUGCGAAAGCUAGGGGAGCAAACAGGA